CAAUUCGACUUCCAGCUCCGGCUUCCAGAAUUUUCAGCGCCAACUGACCAAAUCCGCAGUGGAAAAUCCCAAUCUCCGCCUCUCGCACACCGGAUUCCUUUUUUUUAUAUCAUAUCAGGUCCUUUUCUCCUCUUUAUGCGCCACCAUUAAAAUCUCUAUUUUGCUUGUUUUGAUAGGAAACAGAGAUAAUAGAUCGAAUGGAUAGGUUUUCAAUUGUUUUAGCCUCGGAUUGAUCUUUUGUUUGUGUUUAGUUUGAUGUUAAAUAGCUAAAUGUCUCGACCAAAAAGCUUUACCAGAAAGAUUUAUUUUUUGUCUUCUUCUUCUCAUCUUCUAAUUCCUUUUUCAUUUUUUUUUUUGGGUAAAAUCUGAGUUAAAUAAACAGUGCAAUCAUGGUUUAGUGUAGAGAUAGGGGAAGAAAAGGUCAGAAAUGUUUAUACAAGGUUGGAAUUGAGAUCUGAAACAUUCUCCAAGGAAGAGUAGAAUUGUAAGAGUGAACGAGGAUAGGAUCCAUUUUUUAUUUUCCCAGGGUUUGAUGUUGGCUAUUGUGCACUUUGUUGUAUUUCUUUAUCUACUUAUUGUAUUAGUGUUUGAUAUCUAAAGAAUUGCAGUUUCUUAACCAAUAAAAAAUAUUUUUUCUCACAAAAUUUCAAUGUAAAUGGGGGCAAUUCAAUCACACCCUUCUGCUCACCUUGUUAGCUAUAGAACCUUGACAGGGAGUAUCUGAGGAGUUGGAAGGUCAUCACUUGCCGGGACAUGCUGCAUCAAUGGAUUUAAAUAUGCAUCCUUCGACUUCAGAAAAUUCUUGUACUAUUUCUAGGGAUGCUUUGCUGAAAAUCCAGGUAUACGAUGCCCCUGUGUGCUAAUUUUACCAAUGAGAGUAGAUAGACAUACAGUGGCUCUCAAAUAUAGUCAUGCCUCAUUCUGUUGUUUGUUUAUAAGUUCAAAAUCAGAUUUUGCCGAUAAGCUUUAAAUUACUAGCUGAGAUUCACGUUAAUUUACUUUCAAGUGUUU
rnacentral:lncRNA from 1 species